rnacentral:rRNA from 1 species
UACGGAGGGGGCUAGCGUUGUUCGGAAUUACUGGGCGUAAAGCGCACGUAGGCGGCUUUGUAAGUUAGAGGUGAAAGCCCGGAGCUUAACUCCGGAACUGCCUUUAAGACUGCAUCGCUUGAAUCAUGGAGAGGUUAGUGGAAUUCCGAGUGUAGAGGUGAAAUUCGUAGAUAUUCGGAAGAACACCAGUGGCGAAGGCGACUAACUGGACAUGUAUUGACGCUGAGGUGCGAAAGCGUGGGGAGCAAACAGG